CCUACGGGAGGCAGCAGUAGGGAAUAUUGCUCAAUGGGGGAAACUCUGAAGCAGCAACGCCGCGUGGAGGAUGAAGGUUUUCGGAUUGUAAACUCCUUUUGUUAGAGAAGAAAAUGACGGUAUCUAACGAAUCAGCACCGGCUAACUCCGUGUCAGCAGCCGCGGUAAUACGGAGGGUGCGAGCGUUACUGGGAAUCACUGGGCGGAACGAGCGCGGAGGCGGGAUAGCAAGUCAGAUGUGAAAUCCUAUGGCUUAACCAUAGAACUGCAUUUGAAACUGGUAUUCUAGAGUGUGGGAGAGGUAGGUGGAAUUCUAGGUGUAGGGGUAAAAUCCGUAGAGAUCAAGAGGAAUACUCAUGGCGAAGGCGACCUGCUAGAACAUAACUGACGCUGAUGCGCGAAAGCGUGGGGAGCAAACAGGAUUAGAUACCCGGGUAGUC
rnacentral:rRNA from 1 species